rnacentral:rRNA from 1 species
UACGGAGGGUGCGAGCGUUGUCCGGAAUCACUGGGCGUAAAGGGCGCGUAGGCGGCGCGGAUAGUCGGCGGUGAAAGCCCGGAGCUCAACUCCGGGUCGGCCGUCGAUACUUCCGGGCUUGAGCACUGUAGAGGCAGAUGGAAUUCCUGGUGUAGCGGUGAAAUGCGCAGAUAUCAGGAAGAACACCCGUGGCGAAGGCGGUUCUCUGGGACGGUACUGACGCUGAGACGCGAAAGCGUGGGGAGCGAACAGG